AUUGAACGCUGGCGGCAGGCCUAACACAUGCAAGUCGAGCGCGAAAGUUCUUCGGAAUGAGUAAAACGGCGGACGGGUGAGUAAUACAUGGGAAUCUGCCUGGUAGUGGGGGACAACGUUUCGAAAGGAACGCUAAUACCGCAUACGCCCUACGGGGGAAAGGGGGGGAUCUUCGGACCUCUCGCUAUCAGAUGAGCCCA
rnacentral:rRNA from 1 species